rnacentral:rRNA from 1 species
GACAGAGGGUGCAAACGUUGCUCGGAAUUACUGGGCGUAAAGCGCGUGUAGGCGGGAAGAUAAGUCGGGUGUGAAAUCCCUGGGCUCAACCUAGGAACUGCAUCCGAAACUGACUUUCUGGAGUGAUGGAGAGGAAAGCGGAAUUCCCGGUGUAGAGGUGAAAUUCGUAGAUAUCGGGAGGAACACCAGUGGCGAAGGCGGCUUUCUGGCCAUCAACUGACGCUGAGACGCGAAAGCGUGGGGAGCAAACAGG